GACGAACGCUGGCGGCGUGCCUAACACAUGCAAGUCGAACGGACAGGCCUCUUUCGUGGUGUACUCGCGUGGCGAACGGGCGAGUAACACGCGCGUAACUUGCCCUUGUCUUUGGGUUAACUUCCGUCAACUGGGGCUAAUACCUGCUAGGUGCUCCUUCUGCACGGAUGGUUCUGUAAAGUUUCGGCGUUUGGGUGUGGACUCGCGGGUUAUCCGCUUGUCGUUGGGGUAGUGGGUUACCAAGGCCUUGACGUGUAGCCGGACUGAGAGGGUGAUCGGCCACAGUGGGACUGAGAGACGGCCCAGACACCGACGGGAGGCAGCAGUGGGGAAGAUUGAAGAAGGGGUGGAAGCCGGAUGCAGAAACGCCGGGGGCGGGAUGACGGCCUUCGGGUUGUAAACCGCAUUCGCUCAUGACGAAGCUUUGUGUGACGGUAGUGAGUAAAGAAGCACCGGCUAACUACGUG
rnacentral:rRNA from 1 species